ensembl:snoRNA SNORA20B small nucleolar RNA, H/ACA box 20B
CUUCCCAUUUAUUUGCUGCUUAUAGUCUCACAGUGAUAUGAGCAAUUAUACACAUGGGAUAAAAUAAUAUUGGGACACUGGUUAUUUCAUCUCUUCUGCAUGGACUAGACAUUG